rnacentral:rRNA from 1 species
GAUGAACGCUGGCGGCGUGCUUAACACAUGCAAGUCGAACGAUGAAGCCCAGCUUGCUGGGUGGAUUAGUGGCGAACGGGUGAGUAACACGUGAGUAACCUGCCCUUAACUCUGGGAUAAGCCUGGGAAAAUGGGGCUAAUACCGGAUAGGAGCGUCCACCGCAAGGGGGGUGUUGGAAAGAUUUAUCGGUUUUGGAUGGACUCGCGGCCUAUCAGCUUGUUGGUGAGGUAAUGGCUCACCAAGGCGACGACGGGUAGCCGGCCUGAGAGGGUGACCGGCCACACUGGGACUGAGACACGGCCCAGACUCCUACGGGAGGCAGCAGUGGGGAAUAUUGCACAAUGGGCGCAAGCCUGAUGCAGCGACGCCGCGUGAGGGAUGACGGCCUUCGGGUUGUAAACCUCUUUCAGUAGGGAAGAAGCGAAAGUGACGGUACCUGCAGAAGAAGCACCGGCUAACUACGUG